UACGUAGGGGGCUAGCGUUGUCCGGAAUCAUUGGGCGUAAAGAGCGCGUAGGCGGCCAGAUAAGUCCGGUGUGAAAGUCACAGGCUCAACCUGUGAAUGCCGCUGGAAACUGUCUGGCUAGAGUCCGGGAGGGGCGAGUGGAAUUCCUGGUGUAGCGGUGAAAUGCGCAGAUAUCAGGAGGAACACCCUGGCGAAGGCGGCCUUCUGGACGGAUACUGACGUGAGGCGCGAAAGCUAGGGGGAGCAAACGGG
rnacentral:rRNA from 1 species